rnacentral:lncRNA from 1 species
CCAUUUUAAAUUGCAUGUGGUGCAAACGAUGAAAAUAUACCGUGAUAAAUUCGGGCACUAGUCGGUUGGAUUGAAUUGACUUGCAUACGAAGCUUUCACCAGCUUGUAAUAGUUUUUUUAGCUUUUCAGUUGAAUUGACGUAAAAGCGCGAUUGAAAUGUCCUUCGUCUGUUAAAAAAGUGAGGAACUAAUUGUUUCUUUUUUAGAAAAACUCUGCAAUUUAGAUACAUGUGAUCACUUUGAUUGUACUACAGCAGUCAGCGUUCAUGAUGCGAUCAGGAGACUUGAGUUGGACGACGACGAUCCAGACUCUUCACGAUGCGGCGAACCAGUGCAGUCAAGUAAACGGAGGGUCGCCUGCCGAAAUGAGGCAGGCUGCGCACCUGACUUGCAGGCAGGUAUUUCAAUCCCUCGACCGUCUCAACGUUAAUAUUUGCCACGGGUGGCGCAAAGCCAAGUGUCGCCUCGUCCCGGGCGAAAAGGCCUACCAGUGCUCCGUCGAGGUCCCUCCUUGUGUGCUAGAAGAAGCAUUCGGUGCGGGAGCAAAAAUUCUCACCGUUGACACCUGCGCGCCCGAACUUUUCAACACGGAUCCUACCCGGCGAAACCCACCCCCGUCCCUGUCCAGAGGGGCGUCUUCCAGCUCAAGCCGCGACAGAGGCAAAAGACGUUUGGAAGGAACGAGUCAGAGACAAGAUACCGGAGGGGCUGGUGGCUGGAGCAGUGGAAAUCCUUUUCAACCCGGAGGAGCCGGUGGCUGGAGCAGUGCAAAUCCUUUUCAACCCGGAGGAACCGGUGGCUGGAGCAGUGUAAACCCUUUCGAAACCGGAGGAACCGCAGGCUCGAGCAGUGUAAAUCCUUUCGAAACCGGAGGAACCGGCGACUGGAUCAGUGCAGCUCCCUACCCCGGAGGCUAUUAUCAACCUUCAGGCUCUUCGUAUCUCACGCGUACUUCACCCCCUCGAAGUCCAACACGUGCCACAAAUCCUCCACCACGUGUAUAUCCCUCAGUGCGUGUACCUCCAUCAGGAGGUACAGCUCCUUCAGCAGCGCGUGUAUUUCCUUCAGUACAAGUACCACCUUCAUCCGGUGCGUCCAACAUCGACCAGUUCACAGGUUUCUCAUUCGGCGAUUCACUCCCCGGCACUCCACGCCGUACUCCGCCUCCACCAAGUGGGUUGCCAGUAGAUCCUUCAUUCGGUGUGAGUGCUUACGGAUUCGGUAGUGAUGAUGAGUUAGAACACGGUGGCAGAACUUCGAAUCCCCCUCCACUUCCUGGAGGUUCUUCACUCCGUGGCAUGCUAGGCCGUACUCCUCCUCCUCUAAGUCCUGGGUUGCCGGUUGAUUCUUCAUUUGGAGUAAGUGCUUACGGAUUCGGUAGUGAUGAUGAGUUAGAACACGGUGGCAGAACUUCGAAUCCCCCUCCACUUCCUGGAGGUUCUUCACUCCGUGGCAUGCUAGGCCGUACUCCUCCUCCUCUAAGUCCUGGGUUGCCGGUUGAUUCUUCAUUCGGAGUAAGUGCUUACGGAUUCGGUAGUGAUGAUGAGUUGGAACACGAAGGUGGGACUUCAAAUCCCCCUCUACCUCCUGCAAGUCCUUCACGCCCGCGUGGUUCAAGAUCGAAAGGGAUAAACACCGGGGAUUUCAUAUGUCCUGUAUGUGGAAGAUCUUACACAUAUAAAAAGCGAUUCGAGAAACACGUGGCGAAACAUGGUGACAAAGGAAGAAAAUAUACAUGCCCCGAAUGCGAAAAUCCCACGUUCUUUCGUAAUAAGAAGAUGUACGAAGAACAUAUGAAGUCAGAGCACGGAGGAGGUGAAUUUUUAUCUUUUUCGACAAGUAUUGAUACUGCUUAUUUUUUCGGAUCUUUCUUUCUAUCGAAAGCUAUUAAAAUUCGAAAUAUCUGUAGCUUUAAAUAAGAUGUAGGUCAUCACAGUUUGUAACACUAACGUAUUGGAAAUAAGGAAACGGGACAUAUUCACAUCGAGAGUGCUAAAAAAAUACCUUUAAGAACACUGGGAAAAAAACACAUUAGAUCUAGAGUCCAGACUCUUAAAAACAUCGACAAGGAAAAAUACUCUUGAUUCAAUCAGAUUUAAGCUUCAAUCAAGAACAAAGCCUCUUAUAAUUUGAGCGGAUUUCCUUUUGAUUUAAGCUUAAAUAUGAUUGAAUCAAGAGUCCUUUUUCUUGUCAAUGUUUUCAAGAGUCUCGACUCUAGAUCCAAUGCGUUUUUUUUCCAGUGAACGUGGUAAAAUAAAUGUCAGUUAAGGACCAAGAACCUUUUCGAAACUGAGGGGCGCAAGAUGCGUGCAAAAGGGUCUUAAAUCGGGUAGCGCCCUGGAAAACUGCGAUAGCUCUAUUCUAAACUAAAUUAUAUCAACA